rnacentral:rRNA from 1 species
GACGAACGCUGGCGGCGUGCUUAACGCAUGCAAGUCGAACGGAAAGGCUCCAGCUUGCUGGAGUACUCGAGUGGCGAACGGGUGAGUAACACGUGGGUGAUCUGCCCUGCACUUCGGGAUAAGCCUGGGAAACUGGGUCUAAUACCGGAUAGGACCGCACUUUGGUGUGUGUGGUGGAAAGGUUUUUCUGGUGUGGGAUGAGCUCGCGGCCUAUCAGUUUGUUGGUGGGGUAAUGGCCUACCAAGACGGCGACGGGUAGCCGGCCUGAGAGGGUGGACGGUCACAUUGGGACUGAGAUACGGCCCAGACUCCUACGGGAGGCAGCAGUGGGGAAUAUUGCACAAUGGGGGAAACCCUGAUGCAGCGACGCCGCGUGGGGGAUGAAGGCCUUCGGGUUGUAAACUCCUUUCGCUAGGGACGAAGCUUUUUGUGACGGUACCUGGAGAAGAAGCACCGGCUAACUACGUG